rnacentral:rRNA from 1 species
CCUACGGGAGGCAGCAGUGGGGAAUAUUGCACAAUGGGCGCAAGCCUGAUGCAGCCAUGCCGCGUGUGUGAAGAAGGCCUUCGGGUUGUAAAGCACUUUCAGCGGGGAGGAAGGCGUUAAGGUUAAUAACCUUGGCGAUUGACGUUACCCGCAGAAGAAGCACCGGCUAACUCCGUGCCAGCAGCCGCGGUAAUACGGAGGGUGCAAGCGUUAAUCGGAAUUACUGGGCGUAAAGCGCACGCAGGCGGUCUGUCAAGUCGGAUGUGAAAUCCCCGGGCUCAACCUGGGUACUGCAUUCGAAACUGGCAGGCUAGAGUCUUGUAGAGGGGGGUAGAAUUCCAGGUGUAGCGGUGAAAUGCGUAGAGAUCUGGAGGAAUACCGGUGGCGAAGGCGGCCCCCUGGACAAAGACUGACGCUCAGGUGCGAAAGCGUGGGGAGCAAACAGGAUUAGAUACCCCAGUAGUC